UUCAUGAAACCUGGGAAAGUGGUGCUGGUCCUGGCUGAAUGCUACUCUGGACACAAAGCUGUCACCAUGAAGAACGUUGAUAAGGGCACCUCAAUCUUCCCCUACAGCCACGCUCUGAUGGCUGGAAUUGACUGCUAUCCCCGCAAAUGACAGCUGCCCAUGGGCAAGAAGAAGAUCGCCAAAAGGUCAAAGAUAAAGUCUUGUUAAAGUUCAUAAUUAUAAUCAUCUCAUGCUCACAAGGUACUCUGUUGAUAUCC
rnacentral:lncRNA from 1 species